rnacentral:rRNA from 1 species
CUCUGUAAGCGUAUACCAAAGUUGUUGCAGUUAAAACGCUCGUAGUCGGAUUUUGGCGUGGUGCUUCUGAGACCCCUUAUUGGGUGUUGAAGGUAGUCCCGCCUUUGUGGAUGAGGGCGUGGUGGUGCUUAACUGUAUUGCUGCGUUUUCGCCACUGUUUACUGUGAAAAAAUUAGAGUGUUCAAAGCGAGCGAUUGCCAUGAAUACAUUAGCAUGGAAUAAUAGAAUAGGACCUGAUCCUGUUUUGUUGGUUUGUCGGUAUUAGGUAAUGAUUAAGAGGGACGGUCGGGGGCAUUUGUAUUCCAGGGUUAGAGGUGAAAUUCUUGGAUCCUUGGAAGACAAACAGCUGCGAAAGCGUCUGCCAAGGACGUUUUCA